CCAGAAUUCGGGUACGCGGAAAGAUUUGUAUUAGUACUAUUAAUGCUUUUUUUUUAAUUAAUUUUUCCCCAAAAUUUCUUCGUUUCUCUUGAGAAUAGACCUCCACUACCAUGGUAGUUUCAAAGAUUAUUCACAUGCAAGCAGUCCUUCUGCCAUAAGCGAGUAAAAGAGAGCAAGGGAACUGGGAAAAAACCAAAAGAUCUGAAAGGAGAAAGAAAAGCAGCAGACCCACCUCGCCCCCUUUUGCUGGCUCUCUUCUCUAAAACUCUCAGUCCCUAAAUCUUUUUUUCAAGCCUUUUUUGUCAUCGUAUUUUUGUCUACAGCCAUAAUGAAUGAAUGAAUGAAUCCUAUAUCAAUAUAUGCAUAAAUAAUCAAUGGAGGUUGAUUAUUAAUUAAUUAGUUUGGUUACCUUGAGAAGAGAGUGCCACAGUC
rnacentral:misc_RNA from 1 species